UCAUUAAGUAAAAACAGGAUUUGGUUGGUGUUCGUUCUGGGUGAUUUGUUUAGGCCUGGGAUGGCAGGGAGUGAGUGUAAUCAGUGUUUACUGAGCUUUCUUCAUCUUCAGUGAAGUAAGGAAAUGAAUCCACUCCUUGGCAGAGAAGGCUGCUUACCUGUAUGCCUGAAGCAGAACUUGGGCCCUUCUGGGAAAGCUCACCUGAGGCAAUGAGGUUGGCAACAGACAUUCCUUAGUGCAAGAUGCAGUAGGUUAGUAGGCUGAUGAAGGCUCUACAAUGUGAACCCUCACUAAUUUAUACAGGGAGCCGAUGGUGAAGCACUAGAGUUCUUAAAGACUUCAACCAGGUACAUGGAGCCUGCUUCUCCCUCUGCCUAUGUCUCUGCCUCUCUCUCUCUCUCU